UACAGAGGUCUCAAGCGUUGUUCGGAAUCACUGGGCGUAAAGGGUGCGUAGGCGGCGCGGUAAGUCGGGUGUGAAAUCUCGGGGCUUAACUCCGAAACUGCAUUCGAUACUGCUGUGCUUGAGGACUGGAGAGGAGACUGGAAUUUACGGUGUAGCGGUGAAAUGCGUAGAUAUCGUAAGGAAGACCAGUGGCGAAGGCGGGUCUCUGGACAGUUCCUGACGCUGAGGCACGAAGGUCAGGGGAGCAAACGGG
rnacentral:rRNA from 1 species